GCGUGCGCAUGCGCGUCGGGUUCCGCCGCUGGCCUGUGUGGGCCCUGUGGCCGCGGGCGGGGGUGCCUGGGGUAUGGCGUCCACAUUGUGCUGGCUGCUCGCCGGCCCGCGGGGCGGAAGCUGUCCGGGAAGGACGCGGAGAGCCGCGGUCUCCCGCGCUCCGGUUCAGCAGUCGCUGCCUCCGACCUCCGGGAGUCGGGACCCAGAGGUGCGCACAGCCGUUGCUUGUUGGAUGAAUAGACCCACGAACGCGGAUCCUCACGAGUGUCCUCGAAGCCGCGUGCCUUGGGCCCACGUCCAGGCCUGCGGACCCGGGCUCCAGUGCCGGGACUAGAAGUCUAGAUCUGCAGACUCAGGGAGACAGUCUCACCCCGCCCACCUGUAGAUGGCUGCCAAAAAGAAAAAAAAAAAAGACAUUAACACAUCCCCUCACUCAGGCUGGCAGUUCCAGGGAAUAUUUGCAAAACGUAUGGCCUUUUUACUUUGCUUCCUCGUCUCUAACCCCUUUCUGUGCCAUAAAAGGAACUGGCAUCCAAACCCCGAUAAGGUGGUUUAUCGGAGACACUAGUCAGCCGUCUUCUCAGUCUGCCGGCAGUGACUUAUUUUCUCUCUUAUUCUCUACCUUGCUAAGGAGAGAUGAGAAACUAGGGCUUCCUGUACAGUGUGAAUUCCAGAGAAUCCAGGAGUUUUCCAGAAAUACACUCCUGCUUUCCAGUUUGGUGUGAUCGUGAUGAAAUGCCUACUGUUUUGUUUUAUUACAUCACCUACUCCGUUCCUUCCCUAAAAUGUAACAAUUAAAAGGUGGAGCCCCAAAGGCUUUUAUUGCCCAUCCUUACUGCUUUCAGUAGAAUUGUAUCUAAUCUCAAUGAGAUAGAAAACACAUGGUAAGACCCGUAGAAACACAGAUGAUACACUUGCUCUGAUAAAACAGUCCAAUGUUCAGCAUAUUUUAGGUGGAAAAUACUUAUAUUUGGCCUGUUUAUACUGAAGUGUGAGAUCCUAUUCUUUUGUCCUUAACUUAAAAAGAUCAGAAAAUAGAGCGGAAAAAAUGCUAUGAAAUAAUAAACCUGUGUGCUUCUAUAAUAAGAGUACCUCUAUACAUUCUCUAAAUUUUUUCCUUUUGAAGUAUAGUAACUUUAGUUUUGCGUAUGCAAAAAGACGAAACAAACUGAUACCUCUACUAAUGGGGAGAAAGCUUUCCAAGGAUAUGUGAGGUUGAGCCAUGGAAUUUGCCAGUGUCCAAUUGUGUUUAACCUAAAAAGGGCAAUUUCAUGAUUUUCAACCUGUACCUGGGUGUAAGAAAUUUUACUUAGAAAAGAAUAUUGAAGAUUUAAGAAUGUGAUUUGGGCCUUUUCACUUCUCAUGCCCUAUGAGCCAAGCUUCGUUUCCUAAAAAAUACCACAUAAAAUUUACUGAAGUCAUAAGCCAAUGGAGAUAAUUGGAUAAGAGUCUAGGCUCCGUAGUCAGACUGCCUGGGUUAGAAUCCUGGCUCCCCCGUUUUGUAGCUGUGACGUUUGGGGCAAGUCAACCUAAACUCCUGUUUCACUUUCUGAUAUGAGAAAAUCAAGGUGAUAAUAGUGCCUACCUUGCAGGGUUGUUAUGAGGAUUAAAUAAUACAUCAAUCGACCCUCAUCAUUCAGGGGUUCUAUAUUACAAAUUCACCUACAUGCCAAAAUUUAUUUGUAACCCCGAGAUCAAUACUUGCAAGCACUUUCGCAGUCACUCAGGACAUGUGCAGAACAGUGAAAAGUCAGACACCCAACACUCACCAUCACGGCUGGGGUGGAACAAGGCCGUGAUGUGCCUUCCUGUUUCAACUCAUACUGCAAACAGGCGCCGUUUUUGCGGUCUGCUUAGUGCUACAUUUUUUCACAUACUUGUGCCUUUUCUUGGUGAUCUCACUGUUUAAAAUAGCCCCCAAGCCUAGUGCUGAAGUGCUGUCUAGGGUCCUAAGCACAAGAAGGCUUAUGGAAAAAAAGUAUGUGUUAGAGAAGCUUCAUUCAGGCUGUUGUAUGCUAAUGUCUGUGAGUUCCACAUUAAUGAAUAAUACAUACUGAAUAUGAAGUUUUUAAACAGAAUCACUUCAGACAAGGUUAUGGGUUGAUCAGUUGAGGAACACGCAGUCAGAGGCUCGCAGGACCCUGACCCGUGUCUGCAGGAGUGGGGCCUCAGUCUUCGUAAACCAGUGUUUGCAGCGACUUUAUCAAACGUAACCUGCAGAUGACAAGGAUUGACUAUAGGUGUAAGGACGGGGCCUACCACAUGCCAAGUGCUGAACAAAUGCUGGGUUUUGUGAUUCUAACCAUUACUGUUGUUUCAUCGUGUCUAAUGUCUGCUCUGGGUCCCUGUCUCCCUUCCCAUCUGUGAAAGGAAGAUCUAAACGGAGUCAUUAUUGCUCAGAGAGCUCUGUGACCUGGAACCAGGAAGCCACGGAGGAAGGUGACAUGCAUGCCUCAGCCUGGAUGGACUCUGACCUUUUGACCUGAUGAAGUUGUCCAGAGCACCUGCCAGAAACGCAAGAUACUUAUCGGACCCUUACCCUAAAAUAACUUGAGACAGUCUAUCUACUUAUUGGACCCCUGCCCUAAAACAACUGACGAUGCCUUAAGGACAAAUCUUCUCUCACUUGCGACUGUCGAUCACGGUUCUUGCCAGGCAACCUUUAACAGCCUCCUGGCUUGUUUUCUUUUUUCCUGGCUUUGUGUCUUCAGAAGCCCCUGAUCCUUUCUCUUCCUUGGAACACUUCUUUGGGGUUGCCCUGAAUCUGUCUCCCAGACUGCAAUUCUUAAGACCCCAAAUAGAUUCUUCCUAUUUGCACCCUGA